GGAUUGGAAUGAUUCAACGGAUGAGAUUAUUAGUUUAAGUUAUCCUCAACAUUGGCUCCCAUUGGUCGAACCCAUUGGAAGUAACGCCGUAUCUUCCUGAUAUAGGGAGUCAUCCUAUAUAUUCUACUACGCUAAUCGAUUCAUCUCUUCCCUCAAACCACCACAAGUCUCUCUCAUAGGUCGUAAUCCAUCUCAAGCCACCACAACACUAAGAGCCUUCACAAUCCUAUCCCAAUUCUGUUUCAACCGGCACGGUUUAGAUUAGAGCAUUAUCUUAGACAGCUACCAACUCUGAUGGAAGCAAAGAAGCAGUCAACACAGCUCAACCAGCCACAACAACCGCCACAACAAUUAGCGGUCAGCACAGCUCAGCCAGCCACAUCAAUAAGCACUCAAGGAAGCUCAACCUCAGGAGUAACUAAUGUAUACAAGCUAAGCAAAGCCGAGCU